GAUCCUAAGAUUGGGUCGGGUCGGAUUCGAAUCAACCCGGGCCUUAAACGGCGCCGUUUUGGGAAGGCUAUUUAAGCCAAAAUUUGGUUAAAAAAUUUCAUUUCCUUUCAGUUUUUAAAAAAAAUAAAAAAAACUUUCAAAAACAGCUCUCCCCCCUCUCCAGACGUCCGACCUAGGUCCGAUCAUCGGCCACCGACCGGUCGCCGAUCGCCGACGCCGGCACCACCAUACGCGGUGGCCGGAAGAGAGGGAAAGUCCCUAAUCUGGUCCUUUCGACCUUCUAAACCCAAAUCCGGGUUCCAAAUCCCCAAAAUCGAACCAAAAAUGCUAAGGAAAUCAAGAAACCCUUCGGUUCCCGACCAUCUAUCCUCGGAGACGACUGCUUUGGCCGUUCCAACGGCGUUUCAAAGAUGAACCAAAGUACGAUAGGGGAUGCGGCUAGUGCAGGGACUUCGACUGCGGUGCGAAUGUGGAAAACUGCCUAGGGUUUCCCUUGUGUUGGAAACGCUGGGCCUCUAUCUUGUUUUAGGUCCGGGCCAUAUAGGCCAACUGUAAUUUGGGCCCUUGUUUUAAAAUGGGCCAUGUAUUCUGGGCCGUUUUAUUUACUUCAUGUAGGCCGGGUAAAAUUUAGGUAUUACAGACAUUUUGCUCAA